UCUGUGUACUUUCCAUGUUAUUUGAACUCGUAUUUUGGGAAUGCCAGAUUCUCAAAUUGAUCCAAUAGUAUAAUGGAUUUUUAGGUGCAUAAGAUGGUUCAACUGCUGCACAAACUGAUUAAUAUUAUCGUUAUGCACUAAUUUCAUAGAUCUACUGUCCAUAUAAGGUAUGAUCAUGAGGCAAAAUUAAUGACUUGAUAUUCAUUUGAUCAUUUAUGUGCAUUGACAAUUGACUCUAAUUUGGUUAGUCAAAAUGAGGCUAUUUGGCAGUCCUGCUUCGUCAAUAGGGAAAGUUUAAAGGGCACAUUAAUUUAUGCAUGGUAGCUGAUGCUAAAGUUUUCUGCAGAUAUGUGAAAACACUGUAGUUAUUGGCAGCUCUAUUUUGGAAUUUUUCAGGACUAAAAAAUUUAUUGGUUGAUUGUAAUUACAUGACCUACUAUGAUUCAUCUUGUUCCCAACACAUGGUGCUGCUCUAUAGUGUGAAAGUUAUGCCACAAAACUAUAAGUGCAACUUUGAACUAGACUUUACCGGAAGAAUAAAGAUAUAUUAUUAGAAUCCUAGUGGCAGCUUCUGCACACUGUAAUUAUAAAGGUCAGGUACUCUCCUUACAGUUCAUUAUAUACAUAUGCAUGUAGUUAUGAGGUUUUCAUCACCAAAUAGUAAAAAAGCUAGCAAAAGUCAGCAAAGUAGUUGUUUGUUUGUCUUGUAGAAGUUAUGAUGUGGCAAAAUUUUGCCACAAAAUUUUGUAUAAUGCUCAACUUCUUGUCAGUUGAUGC